AGUGAACGCUGGCGGUAGGCCUAACACAUGCAAGUCGAACGGCAGCACAGUAAGAGCUUGCUCUUACGGGUGGCGAGUGGCGGACGGGUGAGGAAUACAUCGGAAUCUACUUUUUCGUGGGGGAUAACGUAGGGAAACUUACGCUAAUACCGCAUACGACCUACGGGUGAAAGCAGGGGAUCUUCGGACCUUGCGCGAUUGAAUGAGCCGAUGUCGGAUUAGCUAGUUGGCGGGGUAAAGGCCCACCAAGGCGACGAUCCGUAGCUGGUCUGAGAGGAUGAUCAGCCACACUGGAACUGAGACACGGUCCAGACUCCUACGGGAGGCAGCAGUGGGGAAUAUUGGACAAUGGGCGCAAGCCUGAUCCAGACAUACCGCGUGGGUGAAGAAGGCCUUCGGGUUGUAAAGCCCUUUUGUUUGGAAAGAAAAGCAGCAGGUUAAUACCCCGCUGUUCUGACGGUACCCAAAGAAUAAGCACCGGCUAACUUCGUG
rnacentral:rRNA from 1 species